rnacentral:tRNA from 1 species
AAUAAAGUACCUAUUUAAGGAUCUACACUGAUAAAGUAGACAUGCAUUUUUCAGCCUUUAUUG